CUGGCCUCACCUACGGCCCGAUCCCGGCUUCCCGGACUGAGGCUGCCCGGGAGUUGGAGAGGAUCCCACAGCAAUGGCUGGGAGUCAGGAGACCCAGAACAUCCUGAUGGACUAUUUAGGUGUGAAAAGCAGAGGCUCAGGGGCUGACCUGGGAGGAGAAGCUGCAGGAAACCCAGCAAGAAAUGCCCAGAGUCUGUCUACCAGAAUUCCACCAUCUGAAGUCCCCGGGGUGCAAAUCCUGUUUGCUGUUAAUUCUUCCAGCUCUCACGUAUGGUGGCUUGUUGUGUCACGUGUUUUGCAAUUUUGCAUUGCGCGUUCCAUCUUUGUCAGAGCUUUAUCCGUGGGAAUCGGUGUGUCUAGGCUGGGAGUCCGUCUCUCCCUGGGGGGUGAGCUUAUACUUCCACGAGGCACCAGAAGACACUCCAAACCCAAGACUGCUUGAAGUUUAGUUCCCAUCUUGCAUGUAGAAUAAAUUCAGAUCCAAAAUA